rnacentral:rRNA from 1 species
GGGGAAUAUUGGACAAUGGGCGAAAGCCUGAUCCAGCAAUGCCGCGUGAGUGAUGAAGGCCUUAGGGUUGUAAAGCUCUUUUACCCGGGAUGAUAAUGACAGUACCGGGAGCAUAAGCCCCGGCUAACUUCGUGCCCGCAGCCGCGGUAAUACGAGGGGAGCUAGCGUUAUUCGGAAUUACUGGGCGUAAAGCGCACGUAGGCGGCUUUGUAAGUAAGAGGUGAAAGCCUGGAGCUCAACUCCAGAACUGCCUUUUAGACUGCAUCGCUUGAAUCCAGGAGAGGUGAGUGGAAUUCCGAGUGUAGAGGUGAAAUUCGUAGAUAUUCGGAAGAACACCAGUGGCGAAGGCGGCUCACUGGACUGGUAUUGACGCUGAGGUGCGAAAGCGUGGGGAGCAAA